rnacentral:lncRNA from 1 species
CGGAAAGUCUGUUACAGAGCUGGGGACUCCCCGGGGAACUGGAUGUUGAAGAAUGGAGAAGGAAGUGGAAAACAAUCACCAAAUGCAUGCCUGGUGUCUGCGUCAAAUGGGAGCCCCAGGUGCCCUGGAACUGGCGUUGGACUAUUGUGAAAGGCCGUGUUGGGGUUGGUAACUGAAUUCUUACUCUGGAAGAACAGCAAGAGCAUUAGCUGAGUCAUCUCUCCACUUUAAACACUGUAAAUUCUAGGAAGCCUCCCUUCCUUUCGUAGUGCCUCAUGGCUUCCUUCACUCGACAGAUUCCGUCUCAGUAGAAAGAUCUGAACCUUUUGCUAAAUGUGGCUUAUUUUGACCUUUUGAAUAUUCAUCCGCAGAAUGUACAAAAAUAAAACUACUGCUGACCUGUGUCCUGGCUAGUCUUAACUGUACACUUGGCACGGUCCAGAAUCAUCUCAGAGAAGCCUCAACUGGGACAUCACACAGAUCAGCUGGCCUGUGGCCACGCCUGCGGAGGGAUUGUCUUGAUAAACUGAUGCAGGAGGGCCCAGUUUCUUGCGGAGACAGCAUUCGGUGGGCAGGUAGUCCUGGGCUGGGCAAGAUCACCAUGCCAGCAUGCCAACACUCCUCCCUUCUCAUGCUUCAGGCUUCUGUCUGAGUUCCAGCCUUGCCUGCCUUCAGGGACGGGCUGUGACCUAAGUGAACACGCAUCCUCUCCUACCCCAAGCUGCU